rnacentral:rRNA from 1 species
AGAGUUUGAUCCUGGCUCAGAAUCAACGCUGGCGGCGNNNUUAACACAUGCAAGUCGAACGAGAAAGUGGAGCAAUCCAUGAGUAAAGUGGCGUACGGGUGAGUAACACGUGGAUCAUCUGCCCUUUUGUGGGGAAUACCGCUGGGAAACCGGCGACAAUACCGCAUAAGCCCGAGAGGGGAAAGCAGCAAUGCGCAGAAGGAGGAGUCCGCGGUCGAUUAGCUAGUUGGUAGGGUAAUGGCCUACCAAGGCUGUGAUCGAUAGCCGGCCUGAGAGGGCACACGGCCACACUGGCACUGAAACACGGGCCAGACUCCUACGGGAGGCAGCAGUGGGGAAUCUUGCACAAUGGGGGCAACCCUGAUGCAGCGACGCCGCGUGAGCGAUGAAGCCCUUCGGGGUGUAAAGCUCUUUCGGCAGGGAAGAUUAUGACGGUACCUGCAGAAGCAGCUGCGGCUAACUACGUGCCAGCAGCCGCGGUAAUACGUAGGCAGCGAGCGUUGUUCGGAGUUACUGGGCGUAAAGGGUGUGUAGGCGGCCUUCUAAGUUUGGUGUGAAAUCUCCCGGCUUAACCGGGAGGGUGCGCCGAAUACUGAAAGGCUAGAGUGCGGGAGAGGAGAGUGGAAUUCCUGGUGUAGCGGUGAAAUGCGUAGAUAUCAGGAGGAACACCGGUGGUGUAGACGGCUCUCUGGACCGUAACUGACGCUGAGACACGAAAGCGUGGGUAGCAAACAGGAUUAGAUACCCUAGUAGUCC